UACGUAGGGUGCGAGCGUUGUCCGGAAUUAUUGGGCGUAAAGAGCUCGUAGGCGGUUUGUCGCGUCGGCCGUGAAAACUUGGGGCUUAACCCCAAGCCUGCGGUCGAUACGGGCAGACUUGAGUUCGGCAGGGGAGACUGGAAUUCCUGGUGUAGCGGUGAAAUGCGCAGAUAUCAGGAGGAACACCGGUGGCGGAGGCGGGAUCCUGGGCCAGUACUGACGCUGAGGAGCGAAAGCGUGGGGAGCAAACAGG
rnacentral:rRNA from 1 species